rnacentral:rRNA from 1 species
CAAUAGCGUAUAUUAAAGUUGUUGCAGUUAAAAAGCUCGUAGUUGGAUUUCUGGUAGGAGUGACCGUUCCGAACUUGAUUGUUCGUGUAUUGUGUUUUCUCCAGCCAUCCUUGUGGAGAACUUUUCUUGCAUUAAUUUGUAGGGAUUGGGACCCGCAUCGUUUACUGUGAAAAAAUUAGAGUGUUUAAAGCAGGCAAUCGCUUGAAUACAUUAGCAUGGAAUAAUAAGAUAGGACUUUGGUACUAUUUUGUUGGUUUGCAUACCAAAUUAAUGCUCAACAGGAACAGUUUGAGGAUAUUCGUAUGAACAUGUCAGAGGUGAAAUUCUUGGAUUUUGAUCAGACGAACUACUGCGAAAGCAUUUAUCAAGGAUGUUUUCAUUAA